rnacentral:misc_RNA from 1 species
GAAAGGCGAAACGUAAUGUGAAUCGCAACUAACAGUGAAUCAUCGAAUCUUUGAACGCAGGCCGCACCUUGCAAUAUCACUCUGUGUUACUGCAAGGUAUCUACGUAUGAGUGUCAGCCCAAUAUACUUUUGGUUUAAGAGAUAUUUUAUUUUUGAAUAAUUGACUCUUAAAUACAUAUAUAUUAUAUACUUUUUAUAUAUGUCUGGCCUCAUAUGUGGAAGGUUACCCGCUGGAUUUAA